UAGAAAAAAAAAAAAAAAAAAAAAUUCAUAUCCUGAUCGUACAACGACACCCUUGAUGCAAAACAUGUUUGCGCGCCUGACGAUGUUAAGACACACGACACACACUUCCCUUGAGAAAAGAUGGUAGCCUUCACGAGUGUCUUACUAUUUCUUUGCAGAGCCCCUCUUCUUGAUGACGACGCGUACACUGUCAGCUACACUUUGCAGUGUCUCACUUAAAUUUUUCUCUAUCUUUGUAUCUCUCCAUUUCAGAUAAAUUGUUAUCUUUCCAAGGGUUGAGGAGAACAUGGUCGUGGUUCAAGUGAAGCCACUACAGCCACUCCCUGACAAGCCUUCCACACCGACAGACAGUGGCAGCAGACACACAAGAGACGAUGGUGUGGUGGACAAGAAGAUGCAGGGAGACAGCAGACAGAAUGGAAGCUACAGAUGAAAGAAGAGCAGGUCAAGCCAUGGCAGCAGACACAUAGACAGACAGAUUGGAUAAGAAAGAAGUAUUAUUUAGUGAGACAGGACCACUGGAAGCUGUCAGAGUGCUGUGGCACGUGGCAAGAACCAAGUGUUCAGGAGCACACACUGUCCCUUCACCAGUCAGCAGGUCUGGGCGGCUUGGAAGUCUCACUACAAACUGAAGACCCGUUCACUUGAAGGACACAGUUGGAGUCGGACACAAGAUCCAAGAGGGAGUUAUUUUUAAACGAGAGCUUCAGGCAGAAAAUUCGAGUGGAUUUUCAACUCUAAAAAUAACUUUUUUGGGGGGGAUAUUUUGAACCUUCUUUAUCUUGAAAAAUAACUGCAGAUAUCAUGACUCUAGCUGGAAAUUGACCUGAGCAAUGUAGGGUUUGCUGCAGUGAGAUUACCAAGGCACGAGUGUCUGGGAUUUAAAGAUGAUGGAUAUGUGUCCUGUGUGCUGCUGUGCUGGGAGGAGAGGAGCAGCAGCAGUCGUGGGGCUCUGUUGCUGCUGUCACUGGUGCAGCUGUUCACUCCUGCAGCUACCUUCCCUCAACAUACUGUGUCUUCCCUCACCUGCAAUGAACAACUAUGAACAAUACUUCUCCUGCGAUGAGGAACAGUGAAUAACACCUCUCUCUCUCUCUCUCUCUCUCUCUCUCUCUCUCUCUCUCUCUCUCUCUCUCUCUCUCUCUCUCUCUCUCUCUCUCUCUCUCUCUCUCUCUCUCUC